UUUAGCCGUAUGAUGGGAAACUAUCAAGUACGGUUCUUAGGGGGGAAAGGGCCCGCAAGGGCCCUGCCCUACCCGGU
rfam:Candidatus Raymondbacteria bacterium RIFOXYD12_FTLL_49_13 rifoxyd3_full_scaffold_704, whole genome shotgun sequence.